rnacentral:rRNA from 1 species
UACAGAGGUCUCAACCGUUGUUCGGAUUCAUUGGGCGUAAAGGGUGCGUAGGCGGUCUGUUACGUCUGCUGUGAAAACCCGGGGCUUAACCCUGGGCUUGCAGUGGAUACGGGCAGACUAGAGGCAGGUAGGGGAGAAUGGAAUUCCCGGUGUAGCGGUGAAAUGCGCAGAUAUCGGGAGGAACACCAGUGGCGAAGGCGACUACCUGGCCUGUUCUUGACGCUGAGGCGCGAAAGCUAGGGGAGCAAACGGGG